GCGGUUGUAACUCAGUUGGUAGAGCACUACCUUGCCAAGGUAGGAGUCGUGAGUUCGAAUCUCAUCAAUCGCU
rnacentral:tRNA from 1 species